UAACCUGCCUCUUAGCGGGGGGUAACUAUUGGAAACGAUAGCUAAUACCGCAUAAAAGUCGACAUUGCAUGAUGUUGACUUGAAAGGUGCAAAUGCAUCACUAAGAGAUGGACCUGCGUUGUAUUAGCUAGUUGGUGAGGUAACGGCUCACCAAGGCGACGAUACAUAGCCGACCUGAGAGGGUGAUCGGCCACACUGGGACUGAGACACGGCCCAG
rnacentral:rRNA from 1 species